CCUACGGGGGGCAGCAGUAGGGAAUAUUGCUCAAUGGGGGAAACCCUGAAGCAGCAACGCCGCGUGGAGGAUGAAGGUUUUCGGAUUGUAAACUCCUUUUGUUAGAGAAGAUAAUGACGGUAUCUAACGAAUAAGCACCGGCUAACUCCGUGCCAGCAGCCGCGGUAAUACGGAGGGUGCAAGCGUUACUCGGAAUCACUGGGCGUAAAGCGCGCGUAGGCGGGAUAGCAAGUCAGAUGUGAAAUCCUAUGGCUUAACCAUAGAACUGCAGUUGAAACUGUUAGUCUAGAGUAUGGGAGAGGUAGGUGGAAUUCUUGGUGUAGGGGUAAAAUCCGUAGAGAUCAAGAGGAAUACUCAUUGCGAAGGCGACCUGCUAGAACAUAACUGACGCUGAUGCGCGAAAGCGUGGGGAGCAAACAGGAUUAGAUACCCUUGUAGUC
rnacentral:rRNA from 1 species